rnacentral:rRNA from 1 species
AACGAACGCUGGCGGCAUGCCUAACACAUGCAAGUCGAACGAAGGCUUCGGCCUUAGUGGCGCACGGGUGAGUAACGCGUGGGAAACUGCCUAUUGGUGGGGAAUAACGACGGGAAACUGUCGCUAAUACCGCAUAAGCCCUUCGGGGGAAAGAUUUAUCGCCGAUAGAUGUGGCCGCGUUCGAUUAGCUGGUUGGUGUGGCAAUGGCUCACCAAGGCGACGAUCGGUAGGUGGUCUGAGAGGAUGAUCAGCCACACGGGGACUGUGACUCGGACCAGACUCGUACGGGAAGCAGCAUUGGGAAAUAUUGGACAAUGGGCGAAAGCGUGAUCCAGCAAUGCCGCGUGAGUGAUGAAGGGCAUAGGAUUUUAAAGCUCUUUCGGGUGGGACGAUGAUGACGGUACCACCAGAAGAAGCCCCGGCUAUGUUCCUGCCAGCCGCCGCAGUAA